UACAUGGGGUGCAAACGUUGCUCGGAAUUAUUGGGCGUAAAGCGCACGUAGGCGGUUCGUUAAGUCGGAUGUGAAAGCCCUCGGCUCAACUGAGGAAGUGCACCCGAAACUGGCGAGCUUGAGUACGAAAGAGGAUCGCGGAAUUCCCGGUGUAGAGGUGAAAUGCGUAGAUAUCGGGAGGAACACCCGUGGCGAAGGCGGCUCUCUGGCCUGUAACUGACGCUGAGGCGCGAAAGCGUGGGGAGCAAACAGG
rnacentral:rRNA from 1 species